AUAAAAAAGGUGGCGCGAACAGAAAGACUCCGAAGAGAGCCUGCAAUUUCCGAAGACCUUCUCCAAGGAACUCCAAGAACAAGAUGGACCCUGUCUGCAAGUGUGGCGACCCCAAGUGCACAUGCACCACCUCGUGCAAGUGCCCAGGUGGUGAUUGCCCCUGCGACAAGUGCAAGACCAAAAGCCCCGCCAAGUAGUAGAGCCCGGAUGCAAAACAUCAAGGAGUUCACAGAACCCUGGCUUAUCCUGCAAGCACGAGAUGACGAAACGCAACAUGAUGCUCGUAUCAUCGACGGGGUUUGAAUAAACGCAUUUUGUUUCGCGAAGGAA